rnacentral:rRNA from 1 species
AUGGGUUCGCCGCAAAAGAAAAGGGUCGGCGUGGCCUCGCCGUCGGGGAACAGAGAUCGGCUGAGCGAGCUCCCGGGCUUCCUGCUGGGCCGCGUCCUCUCCUUCCUCCCGACCAAGGAGGCCGGCCGCGCCGCGGAGCUGUCCCGGCGGUGGCGCCACGUCUUCCGCAACGUCCACACCGUCUCCUUCGCCGAGCGCCAGGGCGCCAGGGCCAAGGACUGGACCACCUUCUACUACGAUGCGAAGGAGAAGAAGAGCUGCAGCCACGUGCUCCUCGACGACGUCUGGAACGCGCUGCUCUGCCGCCGCCGGUGCGCCCGCGCCCACGUGCCGCUGCACCGCCUCCGCGUCGCCUUCGACGACUGCCACUGGUGGAACGAGUGCCACGUCGACCAGUGGCUCGCCUACGUGCUGCGGUGCAGCAGCCAGGAGCUCCACCUCGACCUGCGCUUUCAGCUCCGCCCGGUCUGCGCGCGCGAACCCUGCGGCGACAGGCCCGGACGCCGGAGAGGGGGCGGCUGGUAUGAGAUGCCGACGAAUCUCUACUCAUGCGUCGUUCUGCGCUCGCUACGCCUCAGCUAUUGCUUGCUGAACCUGCCGGAGACCGCCAUCAACCUGCCGUUCCUCGAGACGCUGCACCUGACCGCCGUCGACGGCGAUUCCGGGACCUGCGUCGAGCGGCUGAUCGCCAGCUGCCCCCGCCUCGUGGACCUGACGCCGGAAGCCGACGCCGGCGUGGAGACAGUCUCCGUCCUCGACAGACGCCUCCGCCGCUUCGCCCUCCGGUGCUGCCACGACGUGGAGUCCGUCGACAUUGACGCCUCCGAGCUGGUCUCGCUGGACUACUGCGGCCCGGUCCCCGAGGAGGCGUUCCUGUCUCUGCACGGCGCGCCGGCGGCCAUCAUGUCGUGCACCCUCAAUUUCUGCAAAGUCCGUUCCAACGAUGAGGCGGAGUUCGCGAGGUUCAGGGGGUUUAUGGGGAAAUUUUCCGGCGUGAAGCGCCUGCAUCUGCACCACCGACGCCUCCCGGCGAGAUCCUUCGACGGGUUCCCCUCGUUUCCCAACCUGACGAGGCUGGCGCUGCAGGGUCCCCUUCUGAGUCCCGACGCGGCACGUCAGAUCCUGGAGCAAACACCAAACCUGGAGAUCCUCUCGCUGUUCAUGGAGCGCUCCUGGGUUCCCGACGAGCUCGCGGCGCCCGACGAGUCGAGCUUCUCGAUCCCGUGCUUGCAACAUCGACUGAAGGAGAUCAACAUGGUUCAUUACGAGGGUGACAGGCUGCAGAGGAUGAUGGCCAGGCUUCUGUUCCGCAAUGCGCUGCUUCUUGAGAGGUUCUGUGUCGUCCUCGUCAAGGGGCCGCUCGUGCUGCAAUAUGCACUCAAGACGGAGAUCGAAAGCUGGGUGGCGGCUGCCCAUGCUGAACCCAUUUUCCUCUGA